rnacentral:misc_RNA from 1 species
GAUGAAGAACGCAGCGAAAUGCGAUAAGUAAUGUGAAUUGCAGAAUUCAGUGAAUCAUCGAAUCUUUGAACGCACAUUGCGCCCGCCAGUAUUCUGGCAGGCAUGCCUGUUCGAGCGUCAUUUCAACCAUCAAGCCCCCGGCUUGUGUUGGGGACCUGCGGCUGCCGCAGGCCCUGAAAAGCAGUGGCGGGCUCGCUGUCACACCGAGCGUAGUAGCAUACAUCUCGCUCUGGGCGUGCUGCGGGUUCCGGCCGUUAAACCACCUUCAUAACCCAAGGUUGACCUCGGAUCAGGUAGGAAGACCCGCUGAACUUAAGCAUAUCAAUAAGCAGAGGA